rnacentral:rRNA from 1 species
CAAACUACCCUAUGGAUCCGAAUAACCUCGGGAAACUGAGGCUAAUAUGGAAUAGCGUUCAUCGCCUGGAGUGGCACGAACGCGAAACGUUACGGCGCCAUAGGAUGUGGCUGCGGCCGAUUAGGUAGACGGUGGGGUAACGGCCCACCGUGCCCAUAAUCGGUACGGGUUGUGAGAGCAAGAGCCCGGAGACGGUAUCUGAGACAAGAUACCGGGCCCUACGGGGCGCAGCAGGCGCGAAACCUUUACACUGCACGCGAGUGCGAUAAGGGGACUCCGAGUGCGAGGGCAUAUAGUCCUCGCUUUUCACGACCGUAAGGUGGUCGUAGAAUAAGUGCUGGGCAAGACCGGUGCCAGCCGCCGCGGUAAUACCGGCAGCACGAGUGAUGACCGCUAUUAUUGGGCCUAAAGCGUCCGUAGCUGGCCACGCAA